UAACUUCAUCUAGGGUUUCUUACCUUAUAUGAAUGCGCCGUCUUUUUCUAAAUCCAACUCCCUUCUUUCUCAAAUCUCAGUCCGCAUCUAGGGAAUAACUGUGAAUCUGUGAUCUCAGUUUAAUAUCUCAGUCACGCCUUCCUCACUGUCGACGACGGAGAUCGCCGGAGCAACUUGAGGGUGAGUCCAUACAGGAAAAUAAGAAGCAGCAGAGGUCAAAGAUAUAUAAGAAUCAAGCAGGUGCAACUUGUGAAGCAAAGUCACCGUUGGAUGUUUAUUUGGAGGAAGGUCAGAUGGCUGAAAAUGGUGAGCUUGAUUUACUCAAGUAUUGGAGGGAUAAUGCAUCCCGCUUUGGAGAACUGUCUACAAUGGCAUGUGAUGUGCUAAGCAUUCCUAUAACAACGGUAGCAUCAGAAUCUUCAUUUAGUAUUGGAGCGCAUGUUUUAAAUAAAUACAGAAAUAGGCUCCUUCCUGAAAAAGUGCAAGCUCUUAUUUGUUUACGUAAUUGGUUGCGUGGAUAUUCCAAUGAUGAUGAAGACUAUGAGCUCGAUGCCAAUGAUCCAGUUGAUGCUUCAGAUGUUAUUGAUGUGGAAGAGCGUCAUUCAAAUGCUUAGACUUUAUUUUAAUUGUACUUCGUUGUUUCUCUUAAACAUGUAAUGGGCUAAACCUUGGUGAUAUUUGAAUACUUAUCGUACUUUAAUAUCUUUAGUUUUAAA